rnacentral:sRNA from 1 species
CAUAUCUCCGUACGGGGAAGGAUGAGAAGCUUCAUUCAGGUUCGAUUCGAGCGCAGCGAAAGCGUUACCGCAGGCAACGACCCGAGGUGAAGCGCGCUGAGUCAUCACUUCCCCACCACCG